rnacentral:rRNA from 1 species
UACAGAGGUCUCAAGCGUUGUUCGGAUUCAUUGGGCGUAAUGGGUGCGUAGGUGGCGCCGUAAGUCGGGUGUGAAAUUUCGGAGCUUAACUCCGAAACUGCAUUCGAUACUGCGGUGCUUGAGGACUGGAGAGGAGACUGGAAUUCAUGGUGUAGCAGUGAAAUGCGUAGAUAUCGUAAGGAAGACCAGUGGCGAAGGCGGGUCUCUGGACAGUUCCUGACGCUGAGGCACGAAGGUCAGGGGAGCAAACGGG